CGGCGGACGGGUGAGUAAUGCCUAGGAAUCUGCCUGGUAGUGGGGGACAACGUUUCGAAAGGAACGCUAAUACCGCAUACGUCCUACGGGAGAAAGCAGGGGACCUUCGGGCCUUGCGCUAUCAGAUGAGCCUAGGUCGGAUUAGCUAGUUGGUGAGGUAAUGGCUCGCCAAGGCGACGAUCCGUAACUGGUCUGAGAGGAUGAUCAGUCACACUGGAACUGAGACACGGUCCAGACUCCUACGGGAGGCAGCAGCC
rnacentral:rRNA from 1 species